rnacentral:lncRNA from 13 species
CAGAAAUGAGACACAAGAUACACUGAGCUAGAAAAUGCAUUGCUGUGCAGAAGUUCACUGGGAUCAUACAAAUAGGCUCACCACUGUCAUUUAUUGUUUUUGUUUGUUUUGUUUUGAGAUGGAGUCUUGCUCUGUCACCCAGGCUGGAAUGUAAUGGCGUGAUCUUGGCUCUCUGCAACAUUCGCCUCCUGGGUUCAAGUGAUUCUCCUGCCUCAGCCUCCUGAGCAGCUGGGAUUACAGAUGCCCGCCACCAGGGCUGCCAAUUUUUAUAUUUAUUUUUUUAUUUUUUAGUAGAGACAGGUUUCACCAUGUUGGUCAGGCUGGUCUUGAACUCCUGGCCUUGUGAUCCUCUUGCCUCAGCCUUCCAAAGUGCUAGGAUUAUAGGCAUGAGACACUGCACCCAGCCGCCAUUUAUUGUGUUUGAAUAGAUUCACUCAGGAUAAAUGGGAAAACAAAACGUCUUCAGGUAUGAUGCUGUGAUAAGCGUGAAGAAAAGAUGUCUACCUUGGUUUUACUCCAGUAGUUUUGCAGGAAGUCGAAUGAAUCCUCUUGCUCCAGAUGGAACAUAAAGCUCCUUAAAUUGAAAUUCAUUGCAUGGGGGCUCUGAUGGCCCUUAACAGAUGGAAGAACAAUCUCAUUUGGGUGGUUAUGUAAUUCAGUGAUUAUCAUGGAACCCUUCAGAUACCAUCAGACAGAAGGUGGACGGAGUUAGGCUCUGCAGCAAAGGCAGGUGCCAUGGCUAUAGAUUCACUAAACUUGUUUCUUUGCAUUUAUUUGCUAGCAUCAAUAAGACCAGAAUCAAGAUCCAAGCAAUAGCACAUGAUCUGGUCUAAUGACCAACUUUGGAAUCGCAGAAAUCAAACAUUGGGAUGGCAAUGGACUUCAAAUGGUUUCUGGGUAAACAACCUUGAGAGGGUCAUUUUGUCUCUCUGAAAUCCUCAUUUUUACAAGUAUGCCAGACAAUGCUUCUAGUAGGAGGGUAUGAUAUUAAUAUGCAUUCAAUAGAUAUUAGUUGAGCAUUAUGUGGCAAUAACUUUUCUAGGUGCCAGAAAUACCACUGUCAAUAAAAUAGAUGAUAAUCUGUUUUUAUUUUUCUCU